rnacentral:lncRNA from 1 species
CAUCAAUCCCUACCUGUAAUUUCCAAGAUUUUUCUGUCAUUUCUGAUUUUAAAGAGAGAUAUUAUAAGGAACUAUUUCUCUUACUUAUUUUAUUAAUGAUACCCUCAGGCCUAAAGUAUCUCCCUACAAUUACUAGAAUCAAGUGCGUCAAAAUCUUCUGUAGCUACUUUAAUAAGAAACUUCAGUAUUAUGAGGGUGAUCAGUGGGGCAGGAAAAUAGGGUCUGGAGGGAGGAAACAUAAGGCCGAUUCAUACUUCAGCUAUAACAGGAAAUAUCCUCUCUAUAGGGCAUACACCAUAAAUGACUUUCUAACUUUACUUCAUCCUCUUCAUUUAAAUGGGGUGUACCCCAAGAAGAGGGCAUUUAAACUCACAAAAUCGCUGUAACAGGGCCUUUGAACCCUGAUGCUAAGGCCCGCUCCCACAUUGUGGAGUAUACUUUCAUUUUCAAUAAAGCCCUUUGUCGUUUCUUUGUUUGUGCAUUUUGUCCAAUUCUUUUGUUCAAGAUGCCAAGAACCUGGACACCCUCCACCGUUAGCAUAUUUUGGCGAGCCACCCAGGAGUAAGAGGAAUCCACCAGGAAAACAAAGCACUCUGGUACUUCAACGGAGAAUUUAGAUAAAUACGUGGUUAAAUGAACAUUGAAGAAGGAAAGCAGCAACAAAGAAGCUCUCAGACGAACAGACAGGACAGAGUCAGGAAAGAACAGAGUGCUCCUAUAAUGGUACUCUAAAGCUGCUUUGAAUUUUCAAACCACUUUAAUUGCACUUUGAGUAUCUAAGCAAACCUGAUCUCCAGAUACAGACAGAGCUUUCCAGGGACAACUAUGUCAUUAAAAAAUUCUGAGCCCUCAGUGAUGGAGUAGGAGUGGAGCAUUCUGAGCCUGUGAGCAAACUGUGUGAAUUCAAGUUCUUCUGGCCACCGUGUGAAGAAGGAUGUGUUUGCUUCCACUUCCGCCAUGAUUGUAAGUUUCCUGAGGCCUCCUCAG